GAGGUCCGUUCGCACAAUCGCAUGGCAGGGGCGGGGGAACCAAUUUUCGGGCACCGUUUGGUGCCCUUGGGGUUAAGUUGAGCGGCUUCGCGCCGCCCAGCCGGGUGACUCCCAUCCGAACCCGACAGCUCACCUCGUAGGCGUAGGGAGAGGCACA
rnacentral:sRNA from 1 species